rnacentral:rRNA from 1 species
UACGUAGGGUGCAAGCGUUAAUCGGAAUUACUGGGCGUAAAGCGUGCGCAGGCGGUUUGGUAAGACAGAUGUGAAAUCCCCCGGGCUUAACCUGGGAAUUGCAUUUGUGACUGCCCGGCUAGAGUGUGUCAGAGGGGGGUAGAAUUCCACGUGUAGCAGUGAAAUGCGUAGAGAUGUGGAGGAAUACCGAUGGCGAAGGCAGCCUUCUGGGCCAACACUGACGCUCAUGCACGAAAGCGUGGGGAGCAAACAGG